rnacentral:rRNA from 1 species
GUGGGGAAUAUUGCACAAUGGGGGGAACCCUGAUGCAGCGACGCCGCGUGAGGGAAGAAGGUUUUCGGAUUGUAAACCUCUGUCUUGUGGGACGAUAAUGACGGUACCACAGGAGGAAGCCAUGGCUAACUACGUGCCAGCAGCCGCGGUAAUACGUAGAUGGCGAGCGUUGUCCGGAAUUACUGGGUGUAAAGGGAGUGUAGGCGGGAUCAUAAGUUGCGUGUGAAAUGCAGGGGCUCAACCCCUGAACUGCGCGCAAAACUGUGGUUCUUGAGUGAAGUAGAGGCAGGCGGAAUUCCCGGUGUAGCGGUGGAAUGCGUAGAUAUCGGGAGGAACACCAGUGGCGAAGGCGGCCUGCUGGGCUUUUACUGACGCUGAGGCUCGAAAGCAUGGGGAGCAAACAGGA